rnacentral:lncRNA from 1 species
UACUCAUUCUGCUGUUCAAUGCCUUUAACUCAGCUUUCACCACUGCAAAUGAGUUUUAUAAUUUUUUCUUGGUUUCUCCUCAUAGUUUCUAGUUCCUUUCUAAAGUAAUCUGGGUUGCUGUUCAUAUCUGCUUUUUUACAUUCCUUCAGUAUUUUCAUUACCUUCUUUUUGAACUUGGUGGUUAUUAGACUUCAGAGGUCUCUUUAAUUAUUUGCUUCUUCAGGGGAAUCCUCCUGUUCUUUUAACUGGGAAUAGUUCCUGCACUUCUUCAUUUUGCUAAUAUUUUUCUUUGUGAGUUUAGGAAAAACAAUUAUCUACUGUAUUUUUGGAGGACUAUUUAUAUAUGAGAGCUCCUAGGGUAGCUUGUGAAGAAUUGCUUUUUUUUUUUUUGGAAUGAGGGCUGCUUUUGGUUUGGAUGCUUGCUGUCUCUUCCCUCGGUAUAUGCUGGCCACUAUCCCCUUGAUAGCAGGUGUGAAGGUUUAUGGCUUGUGAAUGCUUCCAGGGAGGUGAGAACAGCAGGUGGCACCUUCAGGUGGCACCUAGUUACUGGGCCUUGGCAGUGGCAACCUCAGGGAGGCUGAGGUGGCACCCAUAGACCUUGGCAGCAGCAAUAGUGGAACAUGUACAUUCCUAGGGAGGUGGGGGCAACGGGUGGCACUCAGUUGCCGGGUCUUCCACAGUGACCCCUGAGGUUACUGGGGCCAUAGGUAUUGUCUGAUGCCAUAAGUGGUGCCUGGUCAUGGGACCCUUAGUAGUGAUGGGCUUGUACCCACCUCUGCAGUCCAAGGUGGCUGUGACAGUUUGCACUUACCCUGUAGCCUGCAGAAGAGGUACUCCAUAACCUGAGAGCCUACACACGCACAGAGAAAAGAAAUUCCUAUGGCAAUACUGCCUCCUCUUGCACUCUCUAACAAUGGCACCUUCUCUGGUGAGGCUGGGCCUCUCAUACUCCCUAGCCCAUGGUGCAUGGCUCCAUAGCCCCCUCAGGCUGUUUCCACACAGCCAGCCCUAGUCUUCUCCCCAGAACUCACUUCCAAAGUCCAAGUCUCAGUGCCAACCCCUCAUCAGAAUGUCUCAGGCUGUGGUGUGCUGGUUGGUGGUACCAGUUGUCUAUAUGGCUCUGUCCCUGCUUUGCCCUCCUCAGACCAGCUGCUGUACUUUUGAAGGACAUAAGCCUGGGCCUUGUUAACAUUCCACAGGGCCGGUGUAAAGCAGUCAACCCAGCACCUAAGUCUCUGGCAGCAGCCCCCUUCCUUAGAAGAACAAAGUUAGCUGAUAAGGCUGACUGCAGAUGCUACUUACGCAUGUGCACCCCCUUCCAACCUGUGUAAGUUUGCCUUUAUAAACGAAGUCCGUUUCUUUGGGGCUUCAUACUCAAGCCACUUUUAGGCAGUGUGUGGCCCGGCCAGUAAUAAAGACUCCUAAUUUGUUUUUUUUUCCUGUGUUGGAGUGGUCUCUGUUCUUUUACGGCAUAACACUUUCCUCCAAGGCGUUGAGGCUCCCCCUCCAUCCCGGGUGACAGCCCCAUCAGUUAGGCGUUGAGGCUCCCCCUCCAUCCCGGGUGACAGCCCCAUCAGUUAGGCGUUGAGGCUCCCCCUCCAUCCCGGGUGACAGCCCCAUCAGUUAGGCGUUGAGGCUCCCCCUCCAUCCCGGGUGACAGCCCCAUCAGUUAGGUGGCCUCCCAGGGUGUGGAUCCUUUCUUCUCCUUCUCGGGAGUGUUGGUCCCUUCCUGAUUUCUCUCUCUCCCCACUCUAUCCUUUUGUUCUACCCAAUUAUGUAGGGGGUUUCUUAGCCUUUUGGCAAAUCUGUGGUCUUCUUUCAAUGUUUAAUAGAUGUCCUGUAUUAAUUGUUCUAAAUGUAGAUGAUUUUUUAAAUGUGUUUGUGGGAGAAGAUGAGUGCCACAUCCUACUCCUCUGCUAUCUUUUCCCCACCUUAAACUCUUAUUCAUCUGUUUUUAAUAAAUAUAGGAAUUGGAGUACUGGUAUGUAUUGCAAGGGCUGUAUCUUUUAGAUUGUAUACUUCAAAGAAUGGUGUCACAUAAUUUGCUAGAGCUGGUACUAAGGAUUCAUGAAUUCUUGACUUUGGUGAUCCACAGAACAGUUUCUGCUUGGACUCGGUAGCACUGUGAAUCAGCUGACUUUAACAAGUGUUGUCAUAGUUCUGGAAAGUGAGUAUCCCAUCAACCACUCAGAAAGGAAAAAUACUUUUUAUAAUUAAAAACAGGAAUAAAAAUCUUUCAGUUCCGUUAAUUAGUGUGAAAUUUAUUUACUCAGGCUUGUGAAUGCUUGGAAAUUG